rnacentral:lncRNA from 1 species
AUUUUCCAAGACAAAAUUUUUCUGGUAGCCCUGACUGUCUUAGAACUUUCUCUGUAGACCAGAGAUAUGCCUGCUUUUGCCUUUAAAAAAGAAGAAAUUGGCACUGUGAGAGGCCAUGGAAGGCAUUUGGUGAAGGUGCCACUUCAGUUGCAGUUGAUAGCCUAGGACUGAAGGGGUCAUGCAAAGGAUUUGAGACUUGGCACCAUGAAGAAAGCCUGUGAGAGGCUAUUGGUGAAGCCUAGUUGCAGUGAGAAACCCCAGCAUAUUAGAGAUGCCAGUACCAUGGGAUGACCACCAGGAACAGCAGCCACAAUGCACUGGAGUCCACCAGAGCCUAGAGAAAUGCAGAAGGCAGAGCUGAAGUGAGAAGCCCAGAAGAUCAUGUGUGGGUCUCAGACAUUGUAACAAGGAGCUGUGAAGCUGAUGCUGGCUUGGGGACCCC